GAGUAGGGUAAAGCUGCAGACCCGGAGACUGCAGUUUUAGGACCGCUGCAGAUUCAGGACCGCUGCAGUUCUAGGACCCUACUCUGCCGCCUAGCGACAUGAGUGAUUAUUACACAGUAGGCGGGACCAGCGAGAGAGGGAGUGAGUGGGGUGCAGGUGUAUGCUAAAGGCUUUUCUCCUCAUAGCUGUUGUCGUCGUCGAAUUGUGUGGCACAGUUUGGUGCACGAUGGAGUACAGUCGGAAUAUGCAUAUAACAAUUCAAGAGGGUCGAGCUAUGCCUAAACUGGAAAGAUGCACCACAUGCUGCAAAAAGUUCCACUGCCCAUUUUGCUCUUCAUCUUUGUUCAACCCAACAAAGUUAAGCAAAGUCAAAACCCAUUUAGUUGGUAGGUAGUGUGGAAAUUUAAUUCACAAUGUGGAGUUUGAAUAUUAAAAAAGAAAUGUCAAAUAUUAAUAUAUUUUUUUGUAUCUCUUUCUCUAUCUCUUCUUUCUUUCUCUCUCUUACAGAAGUCGUUGCGAUCCAAGUCCCUGGAUAAAAAAAAACAACGUUAAUGUGUGAAUUUUAAUAUUUGAAUUUUGUUAUUAUUUCAAAUACAUUUUAUAACCCCAAGUCUUCCUUGUGUCUCUGAUAUGUGGUUGGGAGUUCUAGGACACAUUCUAAGACAAAGUAAUAUUUAGGUGAUGAUAUUUGGGUGAAAUACACAUUAAAAGGUGUAAUUAGUUAGUUAAAUUGGUGAUAUUUGGGUGAAAUAAACAUUAAAAAUUGCAAGUAGUUAGCUGAAUUGGUGAUAUUUGGGUGAAAUAAACAUUGUAAAGUGUAAAUAGCUGAAUUGGUGAUAUUUGGGUGAAAUAAACAUUAUAAAGUGUAAAUAGCUGAAUUGGUGAUAUUUGGGUGAAAUAAACAUUAUAAAGUGUAAUUAGCUGAAUUGGUGAUAUUUGGGUGAAAUAAACAUUGAAAUAAG